AUUGAACGCUGGCGGCAGGCCUAACACAUGCAAGUCGAGCGGAUGAAGGGAGCUUGCUCCUGGAUUCAGCGGCGGACGGGUGAGUAAUGCCUAGGAAUCUGCCUGGUAGUGGGGGAUAACGUCCGGAAACGGGCGCUAAUACCGCAUACGUCCUGAGGGAGAAAGUGGGGGAUCUUCGGACCUCACGCUAUCAGAUGAGCCUAGGUCGGAUUAGCUAGUUGGUGGGGUAAAGGCCUACCAAGGCGACGAUCCGUAACUGGUCUGAGAGGAUGAUCAGUCACACUGGAACUGAGACACGGUCCAGGCUCCUACGGGAGGCAGCAGUGGGGAAUAUUGGACAAUGGGCGAAAGCCUGAUCCAGCCAUGCCGGGUGUGUGAAGAAGGUCUUCGGAUUGUAAAGCACUUUAAGUUGGGAGGAAGGGCAGUAAGUUAAUACCUUGCUGUUUUGACGUUACCAACAGAAUAAGCACCGGCUAACUUCGUU
rnacentral:rRNA from 1 species